AUUGCUUCUCGGCCUUUCGGCUAAGAUCAAAGUGUAGUAUCCGUUCAUGCUAAAAAUGAAACUAAUAAUCCUAAAUUUUUUAGUUUUUAAAAUUUUUAUAGCAGUGCCGCAAACUUGAUGUGACUACUGUGGAAAGCGAUCACGAUGUUGCGACUGCGAAUCAGUUUCAAAUAUCGAAUCGUGAUUGACAACAA